GCCUCCAGCUGACUGCAGAGCCCCCUUAUCUCCCCUCCCGGAGGAUGGACGGAGCUCAGAAGACACAGCAGGGUGAGAGAAAAGAUGUUGACAGCUCCAUCCCCCGCACACAGCUCUAUCCCUCCCCCUCCCCUGCUCUGUCUAGACAGGACCUAAUCCACCACGGGGAGGUUGCUUGUUUGCACGAGGAAAACAUAGAGGAGGGGGAGGACGGAAAUCUCACCUCACACCGGCCGGGACUACAGCUCUGAUGUCCACUCAUGGCGGCUCAGAUGCUUUCUUAUGUGAAUCCUACAAAAAAUAAAUUUAAUCAAGUGUCAGAACCCCAAAGAAAGCAGGAACAAACUCAGCACAUAGCCCAUGAAUACAGAGGAAGAGAUCCAGGAAGACGACUCUGGAUGAUCCCGCUUGCCCACAUCCUCCAGGGAGCUCAUGCUGACCACUCUCCCUCCUGAAGCUUGCAAAACUGAUAAGCUGGCUGUCCAGUGCACCCGAGAAGGCAAGGGAGCAGAAAGGGGAUUCCCUCUUUUUAAAAAGGCCACCCUUCCCCUCCCGGAGACCGGCGUCCUACGUCAUUUCCGGUCGCCGGUCUUAUUCCCCUACCAGGCGUCACAUUCUAUAAGCCUACGCUCAUGUGACCUUCAUAGCUCUGCCCCCAACAUGGCCGCAGCCACUGGAGCACGCUUCAAGACUCCACAGCGACCCCAUAACCCACCGCAUCCCCCGCAGAUGAUGUAUAGCACUAGUACAGGUACAGAAUUCUGCGCCUAAUUCCGAAGUAAGAGCCGGUGCAGCGCAGGAUAUAUGGUCGGCGGAGGGAGUGGGGGGGUGCGGAGUCGCAGCUGAGAAAGAACAAGAUCCCGCGAGAGUUGUCCUGUGAGUGCGUAUGUUCUCCUUCCUGUUUGGUCUGAGUCUGUACUCUCGCGGUAGCUGCUGCAGAGUGAACGCUGCAGCAACAUGGCUGGCAAUGAAAAAGAGAUCCGGGACGUGCCAGUGAGUUAUAAGGCGGGCAUUUGGACUCAUUUUGGAUUCUAAAAUAAACCAGGGAGUAAGGAGUAUGACAAGAGCCACGCAGUGUGCAAAAUAUGUCACGCCAGAAUCAAAUACUGCGGGAAUACGACAAACCUACGUGCCCACAUGGCCAGGCAUCAUGGCGACAUAGAGGUAAACUUAAAACAAGCAGCUAGUACCACUACCCCCGCUUCUCAGAUGACUCUUGACCAAGCUAAUACUGCCAAGUUUCCACCAGGCUCGAUUCGUGCAACAAGAAUAACACAAUCCGUGCUCUAUUUAAUUUGCAAAAACCUGCGCCCUCUUAGUGUGGUGGACAACGAGGGCUUUCAGAUUAUGGUGAAUGAGAUGGAGCCCCGCUAUGCCAUACCCUCCCCACAACACAUCACAGACAUCGCCUUACCGAAGAUGUACAAAGAUGUAAAGAAGGUUGUGCUGGAGGAACUGAGUUCUGCCGGGAGAGUGGCUUUGACAUGUGAUGCUUGGACUUCCAGAUGCACCGAGUCGUACGUGACCAUAACAGCUCAUCACAUUACAGGCGAGUGGAAGUUAGUCUCACACGUGCUGCAAACGGAGCCAUAUAUGACAGCCACACUGGCGAAAACAUUGCAGGUUUGCUCCGUGGUGCUCUUGAUGAAUGGGGCUUGACUGCUAAAGAUCCCAUUGUCGUCACAGAUAAUGCUGCCAAUAUGGCUGUGGCUGCUAGACUUGCACAGGUUAGCCACAUUCAGUGUUUUGCUCACAGCCUAAACCUAGCCUCACAGAAAGCACUUAAACUACCAUCAGUGGCCAGACUGCUUGGAAGAAUUAGGCGUGUCACUGGCUUUUUUAGCGUAGUGCAAUAGCCAGUCACCAGCUAAAUCUCAAACAGGACCAACUCCAGCUACCAAAGCACAGGCUGAUUACAGAUGUCGUUACUCGCUGGAAUAGCUCCUAUGACAUGACUGAGAGGUUUUUAGAACAGCAACCAGCAAUAUGUGCAGCACUUCUUUCCAAUGAGGUCAGGAAAAAUGAAAAGGAUAUCUUCACAUUGAGUCAGACAUCACAUGUGCAGAAGAGGUCCUGAAAGCUCUGAAGCCUAUGAAAGAUGCCACAUUAGUGAUGUCAGAGGAGAGCAUGCCAACACUGUCACUGAUUGCACCACUUCAUGCCAAGCGCGUCAUGGGCACUGAACGAAGUCCUGAUGAUUCAGAUACAGUCAAGGAUAUUAAGGAAGCAAUAGCACAAGAUCUAAAAAAAAAAGAUAUGCAAAUGAAAAGGAGACCCUGUACAUGGCAUCAGCUGUUGACCCUCGGUUCAAGAAUCUACCCUUCCUCCCUGCUGAUGAGGCUGAUGACAUCUACGCACGACUGACUGAAGCUGUGGAGGUUGAGAUACAAAAGCUAACUACUACUUCUACUAUAGUAGCAGCAAGAAGAAGAGGAGGACAAAGACGACUAUCAGCAACCAACAUCCAGCCACCCAUGAAGAAACCCAGAGCAUCAUGUGCAUUGGCUGAGCUGCUUGGACAAACUUUUUCCUUUGACAAACACAAUUGAGCACAAAAAUCUGCACAUGAUGUUGCAGCAACUGAAGUUAGAAUGUUUAGAGAUGAAACACGCUUGCCUCUCAAUGAUGACCCUCUUGACUGGUGGAGGAAGCACAUUGCAGAGUAUCCUCACAUAGGUAGAGUAGCAAAGUGUUUCCUCUGCAUCCCUGGUACAAGUGUCUCUGCAGAACGAGUUUUCUUCACUGCAGGAGACAUUGUGUCUGCACAAAGAAGUGUCCUUAAAGCUGGGCAUGUAGAUCAGCUUGUGUUCCUCAACAAGAAUCUUAAGAUGAAGAAAAAAUAAGCUCAGUAGCUCACAUGUUCCAUUCCAGGCGUUGGCGUUUGUUAUACUGCAAACAUGUUUUGCUGACGUUGCACUUUUAACAGUGUAGGGUUUUAUAAUAGUUGUCUAACUUGUCUUACAAAGUCUACUACAGCUGUACAUAUUCUGCAGAAACACUUGUACCAGGGAUGCAGACAAAACACUUUGUAGUGUACUCUACCUUUUUGAGGAGGAUACUCUACUAUUCCAGGCGUUGGCCUUUGUUUUAUAUUGCACAGAUGUUUUGCUGUGCCUGUUGCACUUUUAAGUGUAGAGUUUAUACAGUAAUUGUUGUGUUACUGUUAUUAAUAACAGUAAGACAACUAUAAUAAACUCUACACUUAAAAGUGCAACAGCUAAACCUCUGUGCAGUAUAAAAAAAAAAGUCCUGGAAUAGCAGAGUAUCCUCCUCACAUUGGAUUAGAAUAUUGCGCAUAAUGGCCCAGAUUUAUCAAACUGUGCGACAGAAAAAAAAUAGAGAAAUUUUCCCCCAGCAACCAAUCACAGCUCAGCUAACGAGCUCUGGUAAAGUGAAAACUGAGCUGUGAUUGGUUGCUGUGGGGAAAUCUCUCCACUUUUUCUCUCACACAGUUUGAUAAAUCUGGGCCAAUGAGUUUUCUCCACUGCAGGAGACAUUGUGUCUGCACAAAGAAGUGUCUUUAUAGCUGGGCAUGUAGAUCAGCUUGUGUUCCUCAACAAGAAUCUUAGUAGAUUACAUAACAUUACAAUGCAAAAAAAUACCUUGCAUGUUCCAUCCUUUUAUACUUACUUAUAGUCAUGUCAUAGGAGCUAUUCCAGGUGAUAGCCUUAUACUCAUAGUACUCCACACAAAUGUUUUGCUGUUGCACUUCUAAGUUUAGGGUUUCAUAAUAGUUGUCUAACUUGUACCACGUCUAGUAUGUACUUAUUCUGCAGAGACACUUGUAGCAGGGAGGCAGACAAAACACUUUGCUAGUACUGUGAGGAGGAUAGUCUGCUAUUCCAGACAUUGGCCUUUCUUAAAAUGAAAGGCAGAUGA